UACAGAGGGUGCGAGCGUUGUCCGGAAUCACUGGGCGUAAAGGGUGCGCAGGUGGCGAGGCAAGUCGGAUGUGAAAUCCCGGGGCUCAACCCUGGAAUUGCAUUGAAUACUGGAGGACUAGAGUACUGGAGAGGAAACUGGAAUUUACGGUGUAGCAGUGAAAUGCGUAGAGAUCGUAAGGAAGACCAGUGGCGAAGGCGAGUUUCUGGACAGUAACUGACGCUGAGGCACGAAGGCCAGGGGAGCAAACGGG
rnacentral:rRNA from 1 species